GACGAACGCUGGCGGCGUGCCUAAUACAUGCAAGUCGAGCGAAUCUGAUGGGAGCUUGCUCCUUGAUGAUUAGCGGCGGACGGGUGAGUAACACGUGGGUAACCUGCCUGUAAGACUGGGAUAACUCCGGGAAACCGGGGCUAAUACCGGAUAACUUUUUUCUUCGCAUGGGGGAGAAUUGAAAGAUGGCUUCGGCUAUCACUUACAGAUGGACCCGCGGCGCAUUAGCUAGUUGGUGAGGUAACGGCUCACCAAGGCGACGAUGCGUAGCCGACUUGAGAGGGUGAUCGGCCACACUGGGACUGAGACACGGCCCAGACUCCUACGGGAGGCAGCAGUAGGGAAUCUUCCGCAAUGGACGAAAGUCUGACGGAGCAACGCCGCGUGAGUGAUGAAGGUUUUCGGAUCGUAAAACUCUGUUGUUAGGGAAGAACAAGUAUCGUUCGAAUAGGGCGGUACCUUGACGGUACCUAACCAGAAAGCCACGGCUAACUACGUG
rnacentral:rRNA from 1 species